CUGGUCGAGCGCCCACGCGCGGAUAAUAAACGGGUAUAAACCAACCGCCGAAGCAUCGAAUCUUUUAAGAUGGUAGGAGAGCAUUCCAUGGGCUGGGAAGGUGCAGCGCGAGCUGUGCUGGAGCGCAUGGAAGAGCAAAUGUAGGCAUAAGUAACGAUCAAAUGGGUGAAAAUCCCAUUCGCCGUAAGACUCAGGUUUCCUCAUCAACGCUCGUCGGAUGAGGGUUAGUCGGGACCUAAGGGGAAGCCGAAAGGCGCACCCGAUGGCAAAGCCGUUAAUAUUCGGCUACCGGCUGUAACUGCGAUGGAGGGACGCAGGCAUGAAGCUACUGCGGGGUGACAGCAUACCCCGUUGAAGUGCUGAGGUAUAGGGACGGUAGGCAAAUCCGCCGACCCUGCGGAAGCAUGACAGUACACCAAGGCCCCGGCUGAGGUGAUAAUGUAGUGGAAUACCCUGCCAAGAAAAGCUCCUAAGCUUCAGGUUACAGCCGCUCGUACCGCAAACCGACACAGGUAGUCGGGGAGAGUAUCCUCAGGUGCGCGAGUGAUUCACGGCUAAGGAACUCGGCAAAUUAGUCCUGUAACUUCGGGAGAAGGGACGCCAGUUUCGGCUGGCCGCAGUGAAACGGCCCAAUCGACUGUUUAGCAAAAACACAGGACUCUGCGAAGGCGAAAGCC
rnacentral:rRNA from 1 species